GUGCUUCCUUCAGCAGCACAUAUACCAAAAUUAGAAUGAUAUAGACAAGACUAGCAUGGCCCCUGUGCAAGGAUGACACACAAAUUCUUGAAGUGUUACAUAUUUUU
rnacentral:snRNA from 1 species